rnacentral:rRNA from 1 species
AGCGAACGCUGGCGGCAGGCCUAACACAUGCAAGUCGAACGAACCUUUCGGGGUUAGUGGCGGACGGGUGUGUAACACGUGGGAACGUGCCUUUAGGUUUGGACUAACUCAGGGACACUUGUGCUAAUACCGAAUGUGCCCUUCGGGGGAAAGAUUUAUCGCCUUUAGAGGGGCCCGCGUCUGAUUAGCUAGUUGGUUGAGGUAAUGGCUUACCAAGGCGACGAUCAGUAGCUGGUCUGAGAGGAUGAUCAGCCACCUUGGGACUAGGACACGGCCCAGACUCCUACGGGAGGCAGCAGUGGGGGAUCUUGCGCAAUGGGCGAAAGGCUGACGCAGCCAUGCCGCGUGAAUGAUGAAGGUCUUAAGAUUGUAAAAUUCUUUCACCGGGGACGAUAAUGACGGUACCCGGAGAAGAAGCCCCGGCUAACUUCGUG